rnacentral:rRNA from 1 species
AAUUUGUCUUUUUAUUGGAGGCUAGUAUGAAGGAUUUUACGAAGGAUACUCUGUCUCAGCUUAUAAAAGUGAAUUUAACACUAAGGUAAAAAGGCCUUACUACACUAAAGGGACGACAAGACCCUAUAAAGCUUUACCCGGUAAGGCUAAGGUUAUAAAGUAUAAUUUAGCCCGUAAGGGUUUCGCUGGGGCGGCGAGGGGUAAAACACUCCUGCAGACCACGCUAUGCGCGGGCAAGGAAGAGCGUUAUGUAAAAAAUUAAGAAUAAGUUACUUUAGGGAUAACAGCGUGAUUCCCUUUUAGAGUUCUUAUCCAAGGGGGAGAUUACGACCUCGAUGUUGAAUUGAACCAUUCUCUUCUGGGCAGCAUCAGAGGGAGAGAGUCUGUUCGACUCUUAAUGGUUC